AUACGUCUAUACACAUCUAUACGUAUCUAUAAAUACGUAUAUGUAUAUAUAUAUAUAUAUAUGUGUGUGUGUGUGUGUGUGUAU